AUAAUAUAUUGAUUGGCAUCAAUUGAUAUUGAAAGCUCCGGCGGAUAGAGAUGGGCACGCGCAAGAUUAGUUAGUUGGUGAGGUAACGGCUCACCAAGACGAUGAUCUUUAGGGGCCUGAGAGGGUGAUCCCCCACACUGGUACUGAGACACGGACCAGACUCCUACGGGAGGCAGCAGUGAGGAAUAUUGGUCAAUGGGUGCAAGCCUGAACCAGCCAUCCCGCGUGAAGGACGACUGCCCCUAUGGGUUGUAAACUUCUUUUGUAUAGGGAUAAACCUACCCUCGUGAGGGUAGCUGAAGGUACUAUACGAAUAAGCACCGGCUAACUCCGUG
rnacentral:rRNA from 1 species